rnacentral:rRNA from 1 species
CCUACGGGCGGCAGCAGUGAGGAAUAUUGGUCAAUGGCCGAGAGGCUGAACCAGCCAAGUCGCGUGAGGGAAGACGGCCCUACGGGUUGUAAACCUCUUUUGUCGGGGAGCAAAGCGAGUCACGUGUGACUCAUUGAGAGUACCCGAAGAAAAAGCAUCGGCUAACUCCGUGCCAGCAGCCGCGGUAAUACGGAGGAUGCGAGCGUUAUCCGGAUUUACUGGGUGUAAAGGGAGCGUAGACGGCAGUGCAAGUCUGGAGUGAAAGGCGGGGGCUCAACUUCGGAAUUGCCUCUGAUACUGUUCGGCUAGAGAGUAGUUGCGGUAGGCGGAAUGUAUGGUGUAGCGGUGAAAUGCUUAGAGAUCAUACAGAACACCGAUUGCGAAGGCAGCUUACCAAGCUACUUCUGACGUUGAGGCACGAAAGCGUGGGGAGCAAACAGGAUUAGAUACCCUAGUAGUC